CAGUCGCCGCGGUAAUACGAAGGGGGCUAGCGUUGUUCGGAAUUACUGGGCGUAAAGGGCGCGUAGGCGGCCAUUCAAGUUAGAUGUGAGAGCCCUGGGCUCAACCUAGGAAUUGCAUUUGAUACUGUUUGGCUUGAGUUCGGGAGAGGUGAGUGGAAUUCCCAGUGUAGAGGUGAAAUUCGUAGAUAUUGGGAAGAACACCAGUGGCGAAGGCGGCUCACUGGACCGACACUGACGCUGAGGCGCGAAAGCGUGGGGGGCAAACAGGAUUAGAUACCCCAGUAGUCCCUGUCUCUUAUAC
rnacentral:rRNA from 1 species